UUGGUGCAAAAAUGAGCCUUAGUAAAUUUUAAUUUUUUAGAAUUUUUUGAUUUUUUUAAUAUUUUUCACUCUUUUUUUUAUUUAAAGCAUUACUUGAGUGAAAAGAAACACAUUGCAACCAAUUGGCAUUAAAAUAAAUCAAUUUAAUUUUUUUUGCAAAAUUUCCCAAAAAAAACGUAAGGGGUAAGCCUUAUGAAAUUUUCGAGUUGAAAUUUUUUUUUAAUUUUUUUUCUGAUUUUUUAUUAUUUUUUUAAUUUGAAGCAUUAUUUGAGUGAAAAGAAACACAUUGCAACAAAUUGGCAUGAAAAUAUAUCACAUUUAUAAAUUUUGCUAAAUUGCUCGAAAAUGAGGAAAAUUUGACAUUUUCUCAAACAGGGUAAGGAACUUAGUUCCUCGAAUAAUUUCUGGCACAGACAUCUGAGGGCAUGGCCGUCCAAGAAGAAAAUGUAGCCAUUGGUGUCAUCUAUCGACCACAGGUUAAAAAUUGGCGAUCCGUUGAAUACCGACCGAGUUAUAGGCAAAACUUGGUACGAAAAUGAGGAAAAUUUAACAUUUUCUCAAACAGGGUAUGGAACUUGGUUCCUCGAAUAACUUCUGGCACAGACAUCUGAGGGCAUGGCCGUCCAAGAAGAAAAUGUAGCCAUUGGUGCCAUCUAUCGACCACAGUUUAAAGUUUGGCGAUCCGUUGGAUACCGACCGAGUUAUAGGCAAAACUUGGUGCAAAAAUGAGCCUUAGUAAAUUUUAAUUUUUUAGAAUUUUUUGAUUUUUUUAUUAUUUUUCACUCUUUUUUUAUGUAAAGCAUUACUUGAGUGAAAAGAAACACAUUGCAACCAAUUGGCAUUAAAAUAAAUCAAUUUAAUUUUUUUGCAAAAUUUCCCAAAAAAAACGUAAGGGGUAAGCCUUAUGAAAUUUUCGAGUUGAAAAUUUUUUUAAAAUUUUUUUCUGAUUUUUUAUUAUUUUUUUAAUUUGAAGCAUUAUUUGAGUGAAAAGAAACACAUUGCAACAAAUUGACAUGAAAAUAUAUCACAUUUAUAAAUUUUGCUAAAUUGCUCGAAAAUGAGGAAAAUUUGACAUUUUCUCAAACAGGGUAAGGAACUUAGUUCCUCGAAUAACUUCUGGCACAGACAUCUGAGGGCAUGGCCGUCCAAGAAGAAAAUGUAGCCAUUGGUGUCAUCUAUCGACCACAGGUUAAAGAUUGGCGAUCCGUUGAAUACCGACCGAGUUAUAGGCAAAACUUUGUGCGAAAAUGAGGAAAAUUUUACAUUUUCUCAAACAGGGUAAGGAACUUAGUUCCUCGAAUAACUUCUGGCACAGACAUCUGAGGGCAUGGCCGUCCAAGAAGAAAAUGUAGCCAUUGGUGCCAUCUAUCGACCACAGUUUAAAGUUUGGCGAUCCGUUGGAUACCGACCGAGUUAUAGGCAAAACUUGGUGCAAAAAUGAGCCUUAGUAAAUUUUAAUUUUUUAGAAUUUUUUGAUUUUUUUAUUAUUUCUCACUCUUUUUUUAUUUAAAGCAUUACUUGAGUGAAAAGAAACACAUUGCAACCAAUUGGCAUUAAAAUAAAUCAAUUUAAUUUUUUUUGCAAAAUUUCCCACAAAAAAACGUAAGGGGUAAGCCUUAUGAAAUUUUCGAGUUGAAAAUUUUUUUUUAAUUUUUUUCUGAUUUUUUAUUAUUUUUUUAAUUUGAAGCAUUAUUUGAGUGAAAAGAAACACAUUGCAACAAAUUGGCAUGAAAAUAUAUCACAUUUAUAAAUUUUGCUAAAUUGCUCGAAAAUGAGGAAAAUUUGACAUUUUCUCAAACAGGGUAAGGAACUUAGUUCCUCGAAUAACUUCUGGCACAGACAUCUGAGGGCAUGGCCGUCCAAGAAGAAAAUGUAGCCAUUGGUGUCAUUUAUCGACCACAGGUUAAAGAUUGGCGAUCCGUUGGAUACCGACCGAGUUAUAGGCAAAACUUGGUGCGAAAAUGAGGAAAAUUUUACAUUUUCUCAAACAGGGUAUGGAACUUGGUUCCUCGAAUAACUUCUGGCACAGACAUCUGAGGGCAUGGCCGUCCAAGAAGAAAAUGUAGCCAUUGGUGCCAUCUAUCGACCACAGGUUAAAGAUUGGCGAUCCGUUGGAUACCGACCGAGUUAUAGGCAAAACUUGGUGCAAAAAUGAGCCUUAGUAAAUUUUAAUUUUUUAGAAUUUUUUGAUUUUUUUAUUAUUUUUCACUCUUUUUUUAUUUAAAGCAUUACUUGAGUGAAAAGAAACACAUUGCAACCAAUUGGCAUUAAAAUAAAUCAAUUUAAUUUUUUUUGCAAAAUUUCCCAAAAAAAACGUAAGGGGUAAGCCUUAUGAAAUUUUCGAGUUGAAAAUUUUUGUAAAAUUUUUUUCUGAUUUUUUAUUAUUUUUUUAAUUUGAAGCAUUAUUUGAGUGAAAAGAAACACAUUGCAACAAAUUGGCAUGAAAAUAUAUCACAUUUAUAAAUUUUGCUAAAUUGCUCGAAAAUGAGGAAAAUUUGACAUUUUCUCAAACAGGGUAAGGAACUUAGUUCCUCGAAUAACUUCUGGCACAGACAUCUGAGGGCAUGGCCGUCCAAGAAGAAAAUGUAGCCAUUGGUGUCAUCUAUCGACCACAGGUUAAAGAUUGGCGAUCCGUUGGAUACCGACCGAGUUAUAGGCAAAACUUGGUGCGAAAAUGAGGAAAAUUUGACAUUUUCUCAAACAGGGUAUGGAACUUGGUUCCUCGAAUAACUUCUGGCACAGACAUCUGAGGGCAUGGCCGUCCAAGAAGAAAAUGUAGCCAUUGGUGCCAUCUAUCGACCACAGGUUAAAGAUUGGCGAUCCGUUGGAUACCGACCGAGUUAUAGGCAAAACUUGGUGCAAAAAUGAGCCUUAGUAAAUUUUAAUUUUUUAGAAUUUUUUGAUUUUUUUAUUAUUUUUCACUCUUUUUUUAUUUAAAGCAUUACUUGAGUGAAAAGAAACACAUUGCAACCAAUUGGCAUUAAAAUAAAUCAAUUUAAUUUUUUUUGCAAAAUUUCCCAAAAAAAACGUAAGGGGUAAGCCUUAUGAAAUUUUCGAGAUGAAAAUUUUUGUAAAAUUUUUUUCUGAUUUUUUAUUAUUUUUUUAAUUUGAAGCAUUAUUUGAGUGAAAAGAAACACAUUGCAACAAAUUGGCAUGAAAAUAUAUCACAUUUAUAAAUUUUGCUAAAUUGCUCGAAAAUGAGGAAAAUUUGACAUUUUCUCAAACAGGGUAAGGAACUUAGUUCCUCGAAUAACUUCUGGCACAGACAUCUGAGGGCAUGGCCGUCCAAGAAGAAAAUGUAGCCAUUGGUGCCAUCUAUCGACCACAGGUUAAAGAUUGGCGAUCCGUUGGAUACCGACCGAGUUAUAGGCAAAACUUGGUGCAAAAAUGAGCCUUAGUAAAUUUUAAUUUUUUAGAAUUUUUUGAUUUUUUUAUUAUUUUUCACUCUUUUUUUAUUUAAAGCAUUACUUGAGUGAAAACAAACACAUUGCAACCAAUUGGCAUUAAAAUAAAUCAAUUUCAUUUUUUUUGCAAAAUUUCCCAAAAAAAACGUAAGGGGUAAGCCUUAUGAAAUUUUCGAGUUGAAAAUUUUUGUAAAAUUUUUUUCUGAUUUUUUAUUAUUUUUUUAAUUUGAAGCAUUAUUUGAGUGAAAAGAAACACAUUGCAACAAAUUGGCAUGAAAAUAUAUCACAUUUAUAAAUUUUGCUAAAUUGCUCGAAAAUGAGGAAAAUUUGACAUUUUCUCAAACAGGGUAAGGAACUUAGUUCCUCGAAUAACUUCUGGCACAGACAUCUGAGGGCAUGGCCGUCCAAGAAGAAAAUGUAGCCAUUGGUGCCAUCUAUCGACCACAGGUUAAAGAUUGGCGAUCCGUUGGAUACCGACCGAGUUAUAGGCAAAACUUGGUGCGAAAAUGAGGAAAAUUUUACAUUUUCUCAAACAGGGUAUGGAACUUGGUUCCUCGAAUAACUUCUGGCACAGACAUCUGAGGGCAUGGCCGUCCAAGAAGAAAAUGUAGCCAUUGGUGCCAUCUAUCGACCACAGUUUAAAGUUUGGCGAUCCGUUGGAUACCGACCGAGUUAUAGGCAAAACUUGGUGCAAAAAUGAGCCUUAGUAAAUUUUAAUUUUUUAGAAUUUUUUGAUUUUUUUAUUAUUUCUCACUCUUUUUUUAUUUAAAGCAUUACUUGAGUGAAAAGAAACACAUUGCAACCAAUUGGCAUUAAAAUAAAUCAAUUUAAUUUUUUUUGCAAAAUUUCCCACAAAAAAACGUAAGGGGUAAGCCUUAUGAAAUUUUCGAGUUGAAAAUUUUUUUUUAAUUUUUUUCUGAUUUUUUAUUAUUUUUUUAAUUUGAAGCAUUAUUUGAGUGAAAAGAAACACAUUGCAACAAAUUGGCAUGAAAAUAUAUCACAUUUAUAAAUUUUGCUAAAUUGCUCGAAAAUGAGGAAAAUUUGACAUUUUCUCAAACAGGGUAAGGAACUUAGUUCCUCGAAUAACUUCUGGCACAGACAUCUGAGGGCAUGGCCGUCCAAGAAGAAAAUGUAGCCAUUGGUGUCAUCUAUCGACCACAGGUUAAAGAUUGGCGAUCCGUUGGAUACCGACCGAGUUAUAGGCAAAACUUGGUGCGAAAAUGAGGAAAAUUUGACAUUUUCUCAAACAGGGUAUGGAACUUGGUUCCUCGAAUAACUUCUGGCACAGACAUCUGAGGGCAUGGCCGUCCAAGAAGAAAAUGUAGCCAUUGGUGCCAUCUAUCGACCACAGGUUAAAGAUUGGCGAUCCGUUGGAUACCGACCGAGUUAUAGGCAAAACUUGGUGCAAAAAUGAGCCUUAGUAAAUUUUAAUUUUUUAGAAUUUUUUGAUUUUUUUAUUAUUUCUCACUCUUUUUUUAUUUAAAGCAUUACUUGAGUGAAAAGAAACACAUUGCAACCAAUUGGCAUUAAAAUAAAUCAAUUUAAUUUUUUUUGCAAAAUUUCCCAAAAAAAACGUAAGGGGUAAGCCUUAUGAAAUUUUCGAGAUGAAAAUUUUUGUAAAAUUUUUUUCUGAUUUUUUAUUAUUUUUUUAAUUUGAAGCAUUAUUUGAGUGAAAAGAAACACAUUGCAACAAAUUGGCAUGAAAAUAUAUCACAUUUAUAAAUUUUGCUAAAUUGCUCGAAAAUGAGGAAAAUUUGACAUUUUCUCAAACAGGGUAAGGAACUUAGUUCCUCGAAUAACUUCUGGCACAGACAUCUGAGGGCAUGGCCGUCCAAGAAGAAAAUGUAGCCAUUGGUGCCAUCUAUCGACCACAGGUUAAAGAUUGGCGAUCCGUUGGAUACCGACCGAGUUAUAGGCAAAACUUGGUGCAAAAAUGAGCCUUAGUAAAUUUUAAUUUUUUAGAAUUUUUUGAUUUUUUUAUUAUUUUUCACUCUUUUUUUAUUUAAAGCAUUACUUGAGUGAAAAGAAACACAUUGCAACCAAUUGGCAUUAAAAUAAAUCAAUUUAAUUUUUUUUGCAAAAUUUCCCAAAAAAAACGUAAGGGGUAAGCCUUAUGAAAUUUUCGAGUUGAAAAUUUUUGUAAAAUUUUUUUCUGAUUUUUUAUUAUUUUUUUAAUUUGAAGCAUUAUUUGAGUGAAAAGAAACACAUUGCAACAAAUUGGCAUGAAAAUAUAUCACAUUUAUAAAUUUUGCUAAAUUGCUCGAAAAUGAGGAAAAUUUGACAUUUUCUCAAACAGGGUAAGGAACUUAGUUCCUCGAAUAACUUCUGGCACAGACAUCUGAGGGCAUGGCCGUCCAAGAAGAAAAUGUAGCCAUUGGUGUCAUCUAUCGACCACAGGUUAAAGAUUGGCGAUCCGUUGGAUACCGACCGAGUUAUAGGCAAAACUUGGUGCGAAAAUGAG